rnacentral:lncRNA from 1 species
UUUAGUAUAUUUACUGAUUUAUCCUUGAUUUAUUCCAUCCAUUUUCUUUCUUUUUUUCUGCCAUUUUAUGUACAGAUUUUCGGCCAAAUUCCCUUAUUUUCGGUUAAUUAGUUUGUUUGGUUAAUUAGUUUGUUUCCUUAUGUUUCUUUAUUUUUAUGUUUUUAUUUUGGCCAAAUUCCCUUAUUUUUAUGGUUAAUUAGUUUUUCGGCCAAAUUCCCUUUAUUUUUUAAGCUUUUGUUUCUUUAUUUUUAUGUUUUUAUUUUGGGAAAUUUUAUAAUUUAUAUAAUUCGAUUUUUUUUUGUUCGAUUUUAUUUUUGAUUUAUUUGUUUUUAAAUUUAAUUAUUGAUUUGUUAACAAUAAUUUAGUGUUUCUUGUUAUAAUAAUUCUAGGUUUGUUUCUAGCUAUUUUUUUUUCUAAAUUAAUAUUAUUAUUUUUUUCAAAAAUUAUUUCUCCUAAAUUUUGUGUUUAUUUGUUUUUUAUUAAUUUGUUUCAACUAAUUUUGUGUUUCUCCUUAAAAUAAUACUAGAUUUGUUUUUGGAUAUUAUUUUUUAAUUUUUUCGAAAAUUAGAUUUUUUU